AUUUAAGGAAUAGAAAUGAUUUGAAAUCACCACCACAUAGGACCACUGUAGUGCAAUUAAAUAAGGUGAUUGUGAUAAUUCGAAUCUCAAAGCAGCCAAAGAGACAAAAAAAGAAAUAUUGAAGACUCCCACUAGGAGUCUUCUUCCGUGCGACCUCAUCAAAGGGAAAGUCGAAUCUGGAAAGGACUUGGCCUCCCCUCCGUCCUAUAAAAUCUCCUCUCCUCUCCUCUAAGGCUGGCC
rnacentral:lncRNA from 1 species